rnacentral:rRNA from 1 species
ACCCAAUCCUGACACAGGGAGGUAGUGACAAUAAAUAAAAUGCCGGGCCUUUCUAGGUCUGGCAAUUGGAAUGAGAGCAAUUUAAAUCCCUUAUCGAGGAUCAAUUGGAGGGCAAGUCUGGUGCCAGCAGCCGCGGUAAUUCCAGCUCCAAUAGCGUAUAUUAAAGUUGUUGCAGUUAAAAAGCUCGUAGUUGGAUUUCUGGUGGGAGCGAUCGGUCUGGCGCUUAGCGCGAGUACUUGCAUCGUCUCCGGCCAUCCUUGGGGAGAGUUUGUCUGGCAUUAAGUUGUCGUGCAGGGGAUGCCCAUCUUUUACUGUGAGUUAAUUAGAGUGUUCAAAGCAGGCUUAUGCCGUUGAAUAUGCUAGCAUGGAAUAAUGAGAUAGGACCUUGGUACUAUUUUGUUGGUUUGCGCACCAAGGUAAUGAUUAAUAGGGACAGUUGGGGGUAUUCGUAUUCCAUUGUCAGAGGUGAAAUUCUUGGAUUUUUGGAAGACGAACUACUGCGAAAGCAUUUACCAAGGAUGUUUUCAUUAAUCAAGAACGAAAGUUAGGGGAUCGAAGAUGAUUAGAUACCAUCGUAGUCUUAACCAUAAACUAUGCCGACAAGGGAU